GGAGUAGCAGUAGAGUAUCAGAAGUAUCAGAAGCAAAAAAGUAAAUGUAUGAUUUGCAAAGCAUAACAAAAUGAAAAUAAGCUUCUGCAGUCAUGGAAGUUCAGAAUUGGAAAACAACUUAGAUUAUUUAUUCCAACCUCAUCGAAAAAGAGAUAAAGACAUGGAAUUCAGGAAAAGUGGUGAGGAAGCAAAUUCAGAAAUGUAUGACUAGGAAUAUGGAAGCAACUGAAUAUGAGGUUAGAAUGUGAAACUGAAUUUAAAGGUGUAACUUGGACCUGACUGAAAUAUGGCAAUUUAGCAGAAGUGGGAUUAAUUAUGUAGCCUUACCUAGUUGUACACAAGAUCAGGCUGGGACUGAAAUUCUACAAUAUGACUCCAUACCACCAAAAGAAUUCCAGCCCUCUGAGCAGUAGGAAAGAGAGUUUUGUUUUCUUGUAACCAGAACAUAAACUUUUGAUAGUCAUAACCUUUAUUUCAGUCUAUAAAUUUAGAUAUUGAUGGGGUUCAAAACAUUCUAUCCCCAAAUAUGGCACCAUGGAAUUUGAGCAAACGGCAAAAGUAGAAAGAUCACCCUUUGACUUUCUCCUGCCCUCCUCCUCUGAAAUCAGGUCAAGAGCCC
rnacentral:lncRNA from 1 species